CUUACAUUGCACUUACCUUGUUCAAGGGUCAUCUUUUUGUUUUCUUAUAGCAAGUGAUACAGAGGGAUCAUGAUGAAGUCACAAAGGACAUCAGUAUUCC